rnacentral:rRNA from 1 species
GUCUAUGGCCAUGCCACCCUGAAUGUGUCUGAUCUUUUCUAAUCUUGGAAGCUAAGCAGGAUCGGGCCUGGUUAGCACUUGGAUGGGAGACCAUCUAUGAAGAAAGACCAGGUGCUAUAAGUG